rnacentral:rRNA from 1 species
CAGCGUCCCGAGUGGCGAUCCUGUUUAUUUGGCCUAAAGCGUCCGUAGCUGGUUUAGUAAAUCUUUUGUGAAACUGUUUUGCUCAACGAAACAACGUGCAGGAGAGACUGCUUGACUAGGGACCGGGAGGAGUCAGAGAUAUAUCAGGGGGAGCGGUAAAAUGCUAUAAUCCCUGAUAGAUCACCUGUGGCGAAGGCGUCUGACUAGAACGGGUCCGACAGUGAGGGACGAAAGCUAGGGGAGCAAACCGGAUUAGAUACCCGAGUAGUCC